UACUAACUUAAGGCCGUAGAAGGGUUCACACAACCAUGAGUGUUUCCUCUAGAGGGAUCCAAGAGGGACUAGUUUUACUCCAGUACGAGACAGGACCUCCAGACUAAAGUCAGAUCCAACUGCGCUGGAUGUUUUACUUGGAGCCAACCAGAUGACUUCUAUGAACAAUAGGGAUGUCUUCCUGGUUUGGUGGCCUUGACUCUGGCUUAAGCUGUUCCUUGGAGCAAGUGGGCAGCAAUGUGGCCACAUCUCAAGUGUGCUCAUAAAUGGCACAGAAAAGGGGAAGAGUUCCCUAACGGUGAGAUAAAGGAGACUGAAGCCAGUAUGAAAUUCUUAAUAUCAGAGAAUGAGGGACUUCAAAAUCUUUGUAGUGACCUCAGAGAUACGUAGGAAGCAUCAGAGCUUCAGAUAUGGCAGCAAACUACAAGUUAUUGGCAUCAAUUACAACAGAAAGGCAGAAAUGAGCGUUCCUGAAGCAAGAAAGCAAGCACUGCAGGAUCGGUUGCAGGACCGGCAGCUAUUGGCAUCAAUUACAACAGAAAGGCAGAAAUGAGCGUUCCUAAAGCAAGAAAGCAAGCACUGCAGGAUGCGUUUUAGGACUGGCAGCUAUUGGCAUCAAUUACAACAGAAAGGCAGAAAUGAGCGUUCCUAAAGCAAGAAAGCAAGCACUGCAGGAUGCGUUUUAGGACUGGCAGCUAUUGGCAUCAA
rnacentral:lncRNA from 1 species